UGGAAAGGGGAAGGAAGAGUGAGGUGUUUCCAGACUCAGGGAGCUCCUCCCUCUCUGGGCUAGUCCACUCUAAGCAGGUGCAGGUGCAGGUGCAGGCCCAGAGAGAUCGGGGUGAAUGUGAAUGGGAAGCUGGGUAGGAAUAGGACAGGAGCAGGGGCUGCACUCACCUUGGUAGGGGUCAGGCCGGCAGCUGACUAAUUAGUUUUUUAUUCAAGUCCUUAUAUUUCACAGCUACAUUAAACACUUGGAAUCUAGAACAUUCUUAUCUGACAGUGAUACAUAAUUAAAGUUUACAUCAUGUUUUGAUGAGAAGUUUUUCAACUUUAUAAAAGACUCCUUGAAGAAUAUAUCACUCAGAACGCUAACUUCCUCCCUCAUUCUCCGUCAUCGCGUGCCAAGAGAUCUGCAGAACAUCCUGUCUCUGUUCAAUGAGAUCAUGCACACCGACUGCCAGACUUUGGAGAGGCCAGUAGCUAUGUGGCCUCCGUCUGUCAACAGCAAGGAAAAAAGACUUCAGGAUCACAAAUCACUCAGACAACUUUGAGAAUCUUUCUUUGGAGAUGAACUCCAGGAUCAGCACCUCAGACAGACUACUGCUGAGUUAUGGGACAUAUGUAUGGGAGUUGCUCAAAACAACAGGAAUGUUAUUCUCUCCAGAAGAUGACCAUGAGAAAUCCCUCCAGAGACCUCCUCCCAUCUGGCAGCACCAAAACAUCUGGAGUUAGAAGAAACAGGACACAUAGGCGGCAUCUCACAGGACGCAUAGGCGGAAUCUCACAUGUCCCAACUGAGUUCCUGGAGAGACACUGAAAGCGAGACAAGGUCUACUGUGAACUCCACAGCUCUGCAGUGGACUCGAGACCUGAGGAAAUGGAGUGUUUGUAUGCGGCUUUGCAUUCCAG
rnacentral:lncRNA from 1 species